ACCAUGCAGAUGAAGCCUCUGGUUAACAAGCUGGAGCACACUUACUUUCCAUUCUUUGGCCUCGAGAGGUGCAUUUCAGGCCUGUUUGGUCCUCCAAAAGCAAUGUUUAGUUGGCCCAAACUGCUACUUUCCAUAGCAAAGCCUUUUCCAGAGGAACAUAACUGUUCUGCCUUACUGUUACAGACUUUAGAAGCACAGGCCCAGCCCUAGCAUCUCUGGAAACCUCCAUCACUAUUGUAUUUUCUCCCCAUUUUUGAUAACACCUUCUACAUUACAAGUAUCUGCUGUCUUCCAGAAGUGUAUCAAAUGAUGCAACAAACUCAUCUCGUUUUCAUUUCAACUGGAAUUAAAAUCCGAGGGAUUUUAAUUAUUGAUUCAUUGUUGGUCUGUUAUUCUUUAAAAACAUGCAGCCCUGUGCAUGUUUGUUCUUGAAAGCAAGCUCUGCCUCCACUGAGCAGCUGCAGGAUCACACGCUGUGGGGAACCUCUCACACGGUGUUUGAUGUACUGUACCACAACUCUCCUGCUUCUGAUUUAGCACCUUUCAUAGGAUUUAUGAACCACAGCUGUACCUGCCACAACCUAAUGCCAGGAUUUGGGAACCCUGCUAGCAGGCUCAACCAGCAGAUGCAAUCAUCCAUCUUGCCAACUUUUUCCCCUGAAAGUCUCCUAGUUACAGCAGCAUUUUACUCUGCAAGUAAAUCUGUGUGCUCAGAGCUCCAUAUUGCUGCAGCUAGCCUAUUUCCAGCAUCUAAGCUUCCCAGGUGUGAUGUGUUUAUACUGCAUGAAGGGCUAACCUUGCCCUCACACACAGUUUCUCUUUGACACCAGCUUUGUAGUAAGGGAUAGCAGCCUACUGCUGCCUCGCACUACCUUCUGUGGCCAGUAAGGAAAGCAGUCUUUACUCUCCUCUUGAAUCCAGCGUCCUCUCACAUUUCUCACCCAUCGUCUCUGGAGAAGAAAGCCACCUAGCACAUUUGAAUCAAUCCCCCAUAGCUACUGCUUCCUAUCACGGGUAUGUGGUCCAAGGCAUAAUGUCAUCCUUAAAGGUUAUGUCCAUCCUGUUCACUUU
rnacentral:lncRNA from 1 species